rnacentral:rRNA from 1 species
UCGGGAAUUUUGGGCAAUGGGCGAAAGCCUGACCCAGCAACGCCGCGUGAAGGAUGAAGUAUUUCGGUAUGUAAACUUCGUAAGAAUAGGAAGAAUAAAUGACGGUACUAUUUGUAAGGUCCGGCUAACUACGUGCCAGCAGCCGCGGUAAUACGUAGGGACCAAGCGUUGUUCGGAUUUACUGGGCGUAAAGGGCGCGUAGGCGGCGUGGUAAGUCAUCUGUGAAAUCUCCGAGCUUAACUCGGAACGGUCAGAUGAUACUGCUGUGCUAGGGUACAGAAGGGGCAAUCGGAAUUCUUGGUGUAGCGGUGAAAUGCGUAGAUAUCAAGAGGAACACCUGAGGUGAAGACGGGUUGCUGGGCUGAUACUGACGCUGAGGCGCGAAAGCUAAGGUAGCAAACGGGAUUAGAUACCCACGUAGUCCCUGAGCGGGCUGGCAAGGCGCAU